rnacentral:rRNA from 1 species
AUCUGGAAGAAUACUGGAGACAGGUGCUGCAUGACUGUCGUCAGCUCGUGUCGUGAGAUGUUGGGUUAAGUCCCGCAACGAGCGCAACCCUUGCCUUUAGUUGCCAGCAGUUCGGCUGGGCACUCUAAAGGGACUGCCGGUGUUAAACCGGAGGAAGGUGGGGAUGACGUCAAGUCCUCAUGGCCUUUAUGACCAGGGCUACACACGUACUACAAUGGCCGAUACAAAGGGCAGCGACACUGCGAGGUGAAGCCAAUCCCGUAAAAUCGGUCUCAGUCCGGAUUGGAGUCUGCAACUCGACUCCAUGAAGUUGGAAUCGCUAGUAAUCGUGGAUCAGCAUGCCACGGUGAAUACGUUCCCGGGCCUU